GGCGUAAAGUGUCCGUAGUCUGAUCUGUAAGUCUGUUUUCAAAUCCUACGACUCAAUCGUAGAAAGGGAAUGGAUACUGCAGAUCUAGAAGUAUCUAGGGGUUAGUGGAAUUUCCGGUGGAGCGGUGAAAUGCGUUGAUAUCGGAAGGAACGCCGAAAGCGAAAGCAGCUAACUAUAGAAUACUUGACGAUGAGGGACGACAGUUUGGGGAGCAAACAGGAUUAGAUACCCUGGUAGUCCAAACCGUAAAUUAUGCUUGCUAGAUGUUUUUAUCAGUUUACUGGUAGGAGUGUCGUAAUCUAACGAGUUAAGCAAGCCGCCUGGGUAGUAUAUUCGCAAGAAUGAAACUCAAAGGGAUAGGCGGGGGAACACACAAGCAGUGGAUUAUCUAGAUUAAUUGGAUAAUAAGCCAAGAAUCUUACCUAGGAUUGACAUGUAUUGUGUCUCAGGUGAAAGCCUGAUAUCCGUAGCAAUACGGAGCUUUACACAGGUGGUGCAUGG
rnacentral:rRNA from 1 species